rnacentral:rRNA from 1 species
UACGUAGGCAGCGAGCGUUGUUCGGAGUUACUGGGCGUAAAGGGUGUGUAGGCGGUUGUUUAAGUUUGGUGUGAAAUCUCCCGGCUCAACUGGGAGGGUGCGCCGAAUACUGAGCGACUAGAGUGCGGGAGAGGAAAGUGGAAUUCCGUGGUGUAGCGGUGAAAUGCGUAGAUAUCAGGAGGAACACCGGUGGUGUAGACGGCUUUCUGGACCGUAACUGACGCUGAGACACGAAGCGUGGGUAGCAAACAGG